GGCCCCGUAGCUCAGCAGGAUAGAGCGGCAGAUUCCUAAUCUGUAGGUCGCAGGUUCGAAUCCUGCCGGGGUCACCA
rnacentral:tRNA from 1 species